rnacentral:rRNA from 1 species
UGGGGAAUAUUGCACAAUGGGCGCAAGCCUGAUGCAGCCAUGCCGCGUGUAUGAAGAAGGCCUUCGGGUUGUAAAGUACUUUCAGUCGGGAGGAAGGUGUCAAGGUUAAUAACCUUGGCAAUUGACGUUACCGACAGAAGAAGCACCGGCUAACUCCGUGCCAGCAGCCGCGGUAAUACGGAGGGUGCAAGCGUUAAUCGGAAUUACUGGGCGUAAAGCGCACGCAGGCGGUUUGUUAAGUCAGAUGUGAAAUCCCCGGGCUCAACCUGGGAACUGCAUCUGAUACUGGCAAGCUUGAGUCUCGUAGAGGGGGGUAGAAUUCCAGGUGUAGCGGUGCAAUGCGUAGAGAUCUGGAGGAAUACCGGUGGCGAAGGCGGCCCCCUGGACGAAGACUGACGCUCAGGUGCGAAAGCGUGGGGAGCAAACAGG